rnacentral:rRNA from 1 species
GACGAACGCUGGCGGCGUGCUUAACACAUGCAAGUCGAACGGAAAGGCCCUGCUUUUGUGGGGUGCUCGAGUGGCGAACGGGUGAGUAACACGUGAGUAACCUGCCCUUGACUUUGGGAUAACUUCAGGAAACUGGGGCUAAUACCGGAUAGGAGCUCCUGCUGCAUGGUGGGGGUUGGAAAGUUUCGGCGGUUGGGGAUGGACUCGCGGCUUAUCAGCUUGUUGGUGGGGUAGUGGCUUACCAAGGCUUUGACGGGUAGCCGGCCUGAGAGGCUGACCGGCCACAAUGGGACUGCGAUACGGCCCAGAAUCCUACGGGAGGCAGCAGUGGGGAAUAUUGCAGAAUGGGCGGAAGCCUGAGGCAGCAACGCCGCGUGCGGGAUGACGGGUUUCGGGUUGUAAACCGCUGUCGCCGGUGACGAAGCGUGAGUGACGGUAAUGGGUAAAGAAGCACCGGCUAACUACGUG